GCAGUCGAGCGGACAGAUGGGAGCUUGCUCCCUGAUGUUAGCGGCGGACGGGUGAGUAACACGUGGGUAACCUGCCUGUAAGACUGGGAUAACUCCGGGAAACCGGGGCUAAUACCGGAUGGUUGUUUGAACCGCAUGGUUCAAACAUAAAAGGUGGCUUCGGCUACCACUUACAGAUGGACCCGCGGCGCAUUAGCUAGUUGGUGAGGUAACGGCUCACCAAGGCAACGAUGCGUAGCCGACCUGAGAGGGUGAUCGGCCACACUGGGACUGAGACACGGCCCAGACUCCUACGGGAGGCAGCAGUAGGGAAUCUUCCGCAAUGGACGAAAGUCUGACGGAGCAACGCCGCGUGAGUGAUGAAGGUUUUCGGAUCGUAAAGCUCUGUUGUUAGGGAAGAACAAGUACCGUUCGAAUAGGGCGGUACCUUGACGGUACCUAACCAGAAAGCCACGGCUAACUACGUGCCAGCAGCCGCGGUAAUACGUAGGUGGCAAGCGUUGUCCGGAAUUAUUGGGCGUAAAGGGCUCGCAGGCGGUUUCUUAAGUCUGAUGUGAAAGCCCCCGGCUCAACCGGGGAGGGUCAUUGGAAACUGGGGAACUUGAGUGCAGAAGAGGAGAGUGGAAUUCCACGUGUAGCGGUGAAAUGCGUAGAGAUGUGGAGGAACACCAGUGGCGAAGGCGACUCUCUGGUCUGUAACUGACGCUGAGGAGCGAAAGCGUGGGGAGCGAACAGGAUUAGAUACCCUGGUAGUCCACGCCGUAAACGAUGAGUGCUAAGUGUUA
rnacentral:rRNA from 1 species